CGUGUCUGCAAGCCGCAUCUGGGACACAGUGUCUUGAUGAGUUGAGUGAAUGAGCCAAGGGGAAUGAAUGAGCCCACAGAGGAGAUACCCCGAGGCUCCUUCCCUGAGUUGGUCAGAGACACAGUCUGGUGAUGCUGAGGGGACCCUGCUCAGGGGCAGACAGCUGGCCCCUCCACUCCGCCAAGAUCUGCACUGCAUAAGGACCAGCUCUCGGCCCUCGAGGGGAGGGUUCCAGCUCAGGAUUGGGGGUGAGGGCGGCAUGCCCAACACCGGGAACCGGGCAGGUUCCUGCUCCCCAGCUAGAAUGUCAGAUCCGGGCGGCCCUGGCCACACUCCACGUCUGCAGUGUCGGCAUUUAGUAGGUGCUGGAUCCCCAGGGCAGGCAGACUGGGCCAGCUCACCUGCCCCGCCAAACCCUGUGCCCAGACACUGAGCACUAAAAGGCCGAACUUCUCUCCAGUAACUGCCCCUCUGUGGAGCAUGCAAAUCCUUUCAAAAGGAUCCCCCCAAACCACCAAGACCCCGGCCUGCAUCCGCACAACGACCUAGGGACAGUCCCUGGCAGCCAAUGAAAGAAGCAAAACACAGGGGUCAGGAGUGAACACAGGUCUGUCCAGGAUCCUUGAUGCAUUAGCAACGGGAGAAGCCUGGGCCAAAUGCCUGGUUACUCAUUAGCCAACCCCAGAGCUUCUUUCUGCAAGGAAGGACGAGGGGAGCCAUUAACCCAUCUGAAAGAAAGGCCAAGCUAAACAUCUAAGUCUGCAGUGCAGAAAGACAAGGAAGAACAGAAAGAGUCUACUCUACAGUUGGAUGAAAUCAUGAAUCCAUGUUCAAGUUCAGAUCCCACCUCUGCUUCUUCCUUGCUGUGUGACCCCAGGCAAGCCACUUUACCUCUCCGGACCUAUUUAUUCUUCUGUAAAAUGAAGGGUUGUUAUGACAGUUAACUCAAGAUCUUCAAUGUAAAUAAAGUAUUUUGGCACACAGA